GAUUUUCUGCCUGUUGGAUCUCUUAAUUACUGCUGGAGGGGUGCUGCAGUCUCCAACUAUACAAAGGAAUAUUUUCUUUCAACCAACUUGAUCUGUCUACGUCUGAUGGCCUGGAAUCCUUCAGGAAAGUGUGGUCAGCUGGAUUUUGUCAGAACGUGGAUUUCUACGGGCCUUCUGGCCUCUCAUGUUUGAUGAAGGGAACAGAAGAAAAUGGUUUCACUUCUUCAGUGUAUAUUUAUUUAUUCAUGGAUACCUUUUUCAGUUUUUAUCCUGUGUUUCUUUUUUUCUUUCUUUCUUUCUUUUUUUUUUUUUUUUUGAGACAGAGUUUUGCUCUUGUCACCCAGGCUGGAGUGCAGUGGCACAAUCUCUACUCACUGCAACGUCCGCCUCCUGGUCUCAAGCGAUUCUCCUUCCUCAGCCUCCCAAGUAGCUGGUAUUACAGGUGCCCACCACCACGCCCAGUGAAUUUUUUGUAUUUUUAGUAGAGACAGGGUUUUGCCAUGUUGGGCUGGCUGGUCUCAAACUCCUGAUCU
rnacentral:lncRNA from 1 species